CGAAUGGUGUAACCAUGGCCACGCUGUCUCCACCCGAGACUCAGUGAAAUCGAAAUCGCAGUGAAGAUGCUGUGUACCCGCGGCUAGACGGAAAGACCCCGUGAACCUUUACUAUAGCUUCACAGUGGACUUUGAGCCUGCUUGUGUAGGAUAGCUGGGAGACAUUGAAGCGGUGACGCCAGUCAUCGUGGAGUCGUCCUUGAAAUACCAGCCUGGCAUGUUCGAGGUUCUAACCCAGGCCCGUUAUCCGGGUCGGGGACAUUGUGUGGUGGGUAGUUUGACUGGGGCGGUCUCCUCCCAAAUAGUAACGGAGGAGCACGAAGGUUAGCUAAUCACGGUCGGACAUCGUGAGGUUAGUGCAAUGGCAUAAGCUAGCUUAACUGCGAGACAGACACGUCGAGCAGGUACGAAAGUAGGUCUAAGUGAUCCGGUGGUU
rnacentral:rRNA from 1 species